rnacentral:rRNA from 1 species
GAGUUUGAUCGUGGCUCAGAACGAACGCUGGCGGCAGGCUUAACACAUGCAAGUCGAACGGUUGUAGCAAUACAGCAGUGGCGCACGGGUGAGUAACACGUGGAUAUCUGCCUUUUGGUUCGGAAUAACCCUGGGAAACUAGGGCUAAUACCGAAUGGUUCCUACGGGAUAAAGAUUUAUCGCCAAAAGAUGAGUCCGCGUCCGAUUAGCUAGUUGGUGAGGUAAAGGUUCACCAAGGCGACGAUCGGUAGCUGGUCUGAGAGGACGAUCAGCCACACUGGGACUGAGACACGGCCCAGACUCCUACGGGAGGCAGCAGUGGGAAUAUUGGACAAUGGGGGCAACCCUGAUCCAGCCAUGCCGCGUGAGUGAUGAAGGCCUUCGGUUGUAAGCUCUUUGGCGGGACGAUGAUGACGUACCGCAGAAUAAGCCCGGCCUAACUUCGUGCCAGCAGCCGCGGUAAG